UCCGAGUUGACCCCGGCAGUCUCCCAUGAGUCCCCGGCAUCACCCGCUGGCAACAUGGAACGAGGGUUGCGCUCGUUGCGGGACUUAACCCAACAUCUCACGACACGAGCUGACGACAACCAUGCACCACCUGUAGACGGCCCUUACGGACCCCGCAUCUCUACGGGAUUACCGCCCAUGUCAAGCCUUGGUAAGGUUCUUCGCGUUGCGUCGAAUUAAGCCACAUGCUCCGCCGCUUGUGCGGGCCCCCGUCAAUUCCUUUGAGUUUCAGCCUUGCGGCCGUACUCCCCAGGCGGGGCACUUAAUGCGUUAGCGCCGGCACCCAGGGGGUCGCUCCCCCAGGCACCUAGUGCCCAUCGUUUACGGCGUGGACUAC
rnacentral:misc_RNA from 1 species